AAAACCCCGAGUGACCCAUCUGCCCUAUCCCUAACCCGCUCUCGUCUCCCUCUCUAGGACGCAGCCGCCCACCGAAUCAAAUCCCGUCGCCGGGCUCGUCUGCCUCGCCGUGGCCGAUGAAUGUGUCGGCUGCGGCCACGCCCCCUCUCCAAACGGCGGCGAUGAUGCAGGGAUCAACUCACGCUGCCAGGCUCCCGACCGAACGCGUCGGGUCAUCUCUCCUCGGGGCCAACCCCUCCUAUUCAUCGCAUCUCUCCCUGACUCCGUCUCCUCCACGAGAUAUAGCACCACCCCACGCCAUGGACGCCCUUGCCGGCUGCAUCUCUCCAUGCGCCGCCACUCCUAUGACACCGCCGCCCGGUAGUCUCCACCAGCACCACGACGGGCGUGGCCUCUGCACGCGCCGUCACCUCCCCUCCAGAUCCGGCCGUCGUCGAGGGCAUAUCCAUCCAGCAGUGCGCCGUCACCUCCCCUCCAGAUCCAGCCGUCGUCAAGGGCGUAUCCAUCCAGCAGCGCGCCGUCAUCCCAAUCAUCACCGUCCACGGCGUCAUCGCCCAGGCCCAGUCACGGGCCGGCAAGACCUCCAUGAUCUCCCUCUUCGUCUGCCAGGUCAUUGAGACCAACAUCCACGAAUGAUUUCCGCAUAGCUUUUGUGUAUGACGGCUGGAGGACCAAUUCAGACCUCACUUGCCUCAGGGUCAGGAGGUCCAAGGCGCCGCAAGACCGGGCCAGGAGUUUGCGUAAACCUGGGCCAGGAGUUUAUUUGAUAAAGGUUUCCAGAAUGAUUGGCCACACCUACCUAAAAAGUUCGGAAUUUAACCAUGAGCCCCUUCUGGCCUGGUUCCAUAUUCCAAGGCCCUUCCAUAAUCCAAUUCUUUGUCCCGAACCAUCCAUUGAAGAACAUAGACUGUGCAGAAUAUUAGUUUGUUAUAUUUGCAUCAGAUGAACUAUGGGAGCACUUGAACAAUCAGGAAGCCGUGGAUAUAGUUCAUUGUUUACCUCGGAAUGUAAGAUGAUUUGCCAUACUUCCUCAUAUAUUACGCUUUCCCAGUGUACUAAAAUAUGCUUCCCAUUUUAGUCUUGCCUUAUAUUGUUGAUAUGUAACCCAAAUAGGUUAAACCGAAUGUUGUAUCGAAACAUGUAGUAUUUACUUGUAAAAGAGCAACUGAGAGCCUGGUGGGUCGGGAUGAAGGAAGAAUACCCCUGAGAGCCCAAACUCGAGUUCGAAAAUAUAUGCAGAAUAUAUGUUUGCCUCUGCUAUAUACAUAUGUAAUUUUCCAGUCUGUGUUUUCUGCUCCUCUUUGGCGCAAUGUGGAAGAUGUUGGUUUUAAAGGCUAGCAGGGAAGCCAGUGGUGGAGUAAUCAGUGGUUUAUGAGGUCAUGGAGCCCAAGACCGGAUGCAGCAGAAGAAGCAGCGUCGUUGCCGUGCACUAAGAAGGUCAACAGAGUCUGUGAGGUGGAAGAUCCAUAGCAUACAGCGGAUGCGUUGGAUAUGCCAUUCCUCAAUGUGUACCUGGAUUCUCUUUGGGCAUCUAAUUUUUGGGCAGGUGUUAUUCUAGCAGCCCGCUUCGCUUUGGUCUUCAAAUUAAGCAAUUCUCUGCAUUCAAGGGAAAGGUCAAUAGCUGCUCUCCAAAGCCAACGCUGGUCUGUAUUCAUCUGCUGAAUCAGGUUGGCCACGACGAGGAGACGGACACGACCGCGUUGUCCCAUCGACCUCCGGGGCCUUUGAUAUCUCAGGGUGUGUGUCAUGUUAUGUUGGGUUUCGUGUGAUUUCGGUGCGGGUAGCUACAUAGCGUCCGUGGGCCAUGCGUGUGACAUGCAUGCUAGGUAAUCUUGACUCCGGUGCGACGGUGCUGGAACCGCCUCCGCUGGUUAUGACCGCCGUGGCUAUGCUUGAAGGCAGAAUCACCACGAUGACUGUAGUUGCCGCACUCAGAUCAGAACGGCAGCCACGGUAUAUGAUCAAGCCUUUACUGUCGUCCUCUGAAUUUGGGAUCACGUGCAUCUGCAAGAGAAAGAGCAUGAGAGCCUAAGAGGGUAGUACCACGUUACGAACAAGUUGAUUUUUAUCCAUGGAAUUGAUCUGAUGCGAAGCUGAUGCCACAUAAAAGGACCAAGGAAUGAACACGAAGCAAAUUAUAACUCUCAGGUUCAUGGUUUAGGAGCAGGAAAGAACACUUCCAAUUGUGUAGAUGGGUCAUCAGUAGCAUUUCUCUAAUUAUUCUUAUAGAGACUGAUUUGGAUUGUUGAAGGAAAGGAUCUCAAUUCUCAA